UUGCAUUUUAAUAAAUUAUUAAAGGUAAUUCGAGUUUUACUUAUUUACUGAUUGAGCUUAAUGUAUGCAGGUCAAGUCACGCAUAGUUAGGUAAAGCCUAAACUACACUGCAUUAUUUCACAAUUUUACAUCCUCCAGAGUCGACUCCAAGAACUCUUCUCCAAAACCCAGUGCUUCCCAUUAAUUUCUGACUCUUCACACGUUUACCUAAAUUUCUUCCCACUCGUUCCAACUUUUUCCACAUAAUCCAACUCUCCUAUUUUAAUAAAAUCCCUUCAAAUUAUUUGUUUCUCCGAUCUCAAAGUAUACCAUCUAGUUGCACGGAUCCCAAAGCCUCAUCCCAUCUCAGCCAUUCAUCUUGCAUCCACGUCACCAGGCAUCCUUCACUUCGUUCAUUCCAUCCUCCGUGUCUGGAUAUUCCGUGAUGACUUCCUAGCCGAACAACCACCAGCCUCAUAUUCUUCUGCUAGAUCCCAGCCGCAUUUAGCCAUCGGCAGAAUCCUCAAACUCCCAAACAUGGAUCUCAGCUCUCCUUCUAUCUCGGUCCCACGCUUAUCCUCCCGUUCGCGAUGACAACCACCCACGGAUAACUCCCAGCCGAGAUCCUCUCGUCAUCUUCCUAACCUCCCAACUCCACGCU
rnacentral:lncRNA from 1 species